rnacentral:rRNA from 1 species
GACGUAGGGCGCGAGCGUUGUCCGGAUUUAUUGGGCGUAAAGAGCUCGUAGGCGGUCUGUCGCGUCUGCUGUGAAAACCUAGGGCUUAACUCUGGGCGUGCAGUGGGUACGGGCAGGCUAGAGUGCGGGUAGGGGGAGACUGGAAUUCCUGGUGGUAGCGGUGAAAAUGCGCAGAUAUCAGGGAGGAACACCGGUGGCGAAGGCGGGUCUCUGGGGCCGAACUGAGCUGAGGAGCGAAAGCAUGGGGGAGCGAACAGG